rnacentral:rRNA from 1 species
CAGCAGCCACGGUAAUACGGAGGGUGCAAGCGUUAAUCGGAAUUACUGGGCGUAAAGCGCACGCAGGCGGUCUGUCAAGUCAGAUGUGAAAUCCCCGGGCUUAACCUGGGAACUGCAUUUGAAACUGGCAGGCUAGAGUCUUGUAGAGGGGGGUAGAAUUCCAGGUGUAGCGGUGAAAUGCGUAGAGAUCUGGAGGAAUACCGGUGGCGAAGGCGGCCCCCUGGACAAAGACUGACGCUCAGGUGCGAAAGCGUGGGGAGCAAACAGGAUUAGAUACCCCGGUAGUCCUUGUCUCUUAUAC